UUUGAUCUAGCUUUGGAAGUCACAGAGCAGUCCUUUUGUCGUGUCAACCAGUCACCUCUUGAUCUGGGGAAUGUCAGACUUUAUGGAUCUUUUACAACCGCCACAUCUCCCCUCAGGAAGCCCAUCUGGUGUGAGAGAGGCAAGACCAGCCACCAGGAGAAUACCAAAAGAUACAAUUACCAUGGGAGAGAUGGUGAACUUUCCUUCUUGGCAAUAUCUACUACCCCUCCUGGGUGGUAUUACAGGAGUUUACAGCAGUCUCCAACUUGGAAAUAGUAUCAGGAUGCUGCUCCAACGAUCUUUCACGUCAAGGUCAGCCCACCCCCCAGUUGGGAACUGGUGGGAGCUACAGCCUGAAAGGACAGCGGAAGGAGGAGGGAAGACACACUAUAUUCAUCUACUCCGACAAGCAUCACGGGCAAAGCAAAAGCAAUGGAGAUGACUGGUCUGUGGGGACGGUGGGGGGGGUGGCACUCUCACAGGGAUGGCCGUGGCAGACACUGCUGAAGCCCAGAGCCACUACAACACUGCGACUUCAUGGCACACACAGUUAGGGGCAGUGAGAAAGGUUUACUUAACUGUUCUAGGCUGUAGCAAGGAUGGUUUAUGUUUGUGCUUAAAGGUGAAGAGAAGAAAAGAAACAAGGAGAGAAACUUUAGGUCAGAUAUAGAAAA